rnacentral:rRNA from 1 species
UACGGAGGGUGCGAGCGUUGUCCGGAAUUAUUGGGCGUAAAGAGCUCGUAGGCGGUCUGUCGCGUCGAUCGUGAAAACUUGGGGCUUAACCCUGAGCUUGCGGUCGAUACGGGCAUGACUGGAGUUCGGCAGGGGAGACUGGAAUUCCUGGUGUAGCGGUGAAAUGCGCAGAUAUUAGGAGGAACACCGGUGGCGAAGGCGCCACUCUGGGCCGAAACUGACGCUGAGGAGCGAAAGCAUGGGUAGCAAACAGG